rnacentral:lncRNA from 1 species
CGCCAAUUAACCGGUUACUGGAUUUGUCCUUAUCUUUUAUGGCUUCUUCCGCUUCCGCUGCCACUAUGGCUUCUUCUUCAGUCAUUAUGUCGGAUUCAUCUAUUUAUACUAAUUACGUCAAUGUUCAUCUUUCCAUUGACAAAUUGGAUGGAACCAAUUAUGACACUUGGGCAUCAGAUAUUAAAUUAUGGCUUAAGAGUCAAGGUUAUGUUGAUCAUCUUACUCAUCCUACUCUUCCUGAAAAUGAGGUUGUUCGUUGGUCGAAAAUUGAUGCUCAAUUAUGCAUUGUUAUCAAAUCGACCAUUCACUCAUCUUUAAAACAAAUUUUUCGUACCUAUGAAACAUGUUCAGAA